AUUGAACGCUGGCGGCAGGCUUAACACAUGCAAGUCGAACGGUAACAUAAAGAAGCUUGCUUCUUUGAUGAUGAGUGGCGGACGGGUGAGUAAUGCUUGGGAAUCUAGCUUAUGGAGGGGGAUAACUACGGGAAACUGUAGCUAAUACCGCGUAAUAUCGAAAGAUUAAAGUGUGGGACCUUCGGGCCACAUGCCAUAGGAUGAGCCCAAGUGGGAUUAGGUAGUUGGUGAGGUAAAGGCUCACCAAGCCGACGAUCUCUAGCUGGUCUGGGAGGAUGACCAGCCACACUGGGACUGAGACACGGCCCAGACUCCUACGGGAGGCAGCAGUGGGGAAUAUUGCGCAAUGGGGGCAACCCUGACGCAGCCAUGCCGCGUGAAUGAAGAAGGCCUUCGGGUUGUAAAGUUCUUUCGGUAGCGAGGAAGGCAUUUAGUUUAAUAGACUAGGUGAUUGACGUUAACUACAGAAGAAGCACCGGCUAACUCCGUGCCAGCAGCCGCGGUAAUACGGAGGGUGCGAGCGUUAAUCGGAAUAACUGGGCGUAAAGGGCACGCAGGCGGUGACUUAAGUGAGGUGUGAAAGCCCCGGGCUUAACCUGGGAAUUGCAUUUCAUACUGGGUCGCUAGAGUACUUUAGGGAGGGGUAGAAUUCCACGUGUAGCGGUGAAAUGCGUAGAGAUGUGGAGGAAUACCGAAGGCGAAGGCAGCCCCUUGGGAAUGUACUGACGCUCAUGUGCGAAAGCGUGGGGAGCAAACAGG
rnacentral:rRNA from 1 species